AAAGGAAGAUGCUUUAGAUUAAAAUUUGUAUGACAUUUCGCCUGAGAAAAUGUUACUCAAGCCCAAUUAAGCUCAGUUACUAAGGUAAAUAUGUUACCUACCAACCAUUGCUAUGUUUGAUGAACUCACGUUGGCACCCCCUGCUAAAAAUGUUUAGAAUAACUUUCUCUACCUUUGUGCCGAUUUUCAUGCUUGUACCAUUUACUGAACAUUUUUUUCACCAAUCACCUAGACUAAAAUUACUACUGCUAUUGGAAGAUAUUCCUCUACCCAUUCUAAGGCCAUAAUAAUCGCUGACGAUUUAGCUGUCAUAGGCCCGAAUUCACAAAGGUGGAUUCUGCAAAAUCCACGGAUUUUGUUGAGUCCACAGUCCACGGAUUCGCUUUUGUGAUUCACAAAGGUGGACUCGACCGAAUCCACGGAUUCUACCAAGUCUAUUACGUCACGAUUUCGAGUCAACUGUUUGGGGUGGUCUGAAACAGAAUCUGUGGAUUCUAGGCGUAAUUGGCCAAUCACAGCGCAGCAUUUGGGUACAUCUUUGUGCAGACAACAACCGCUGGACGAUAAUUUUGCAGCAAAAUUUAAGGUGGAAGACUGGACGUGAAAGUGGUUGAAAAAAUAUAUGCUGGACCGAGCUCCGAGAAAAUUAACAAAAAAUGGCAGAAAAUCACCGUGCUCAUUUAAUGCAUCUUGAUCGUGUCAACAGCCUCAGAGAGAUAGCCAACAGGCCCAGACCCUGACGGGAUUACAGGAAUGAAUGAAUCCUUUUGAGUUGUACAUGGAUGAAGCCUUUCGAAUGCAGUAUCGCUUCUCAAAAGAGACUGCACUCCAUCUCAUCAACAUUCUUGAGGGUGAUCUGAGGAGGAAUACAGAAUGUAGUGAACCUCUACCUGUUGUCAUAGGUGUCAUCGAUGGGACUCAUGUCUACAUUAGGAGUCCUGGUGGGGAACAAGCCCUGUACUUCCUUAACCGGAAGAACAGGUAUUCCGUCAGUGUGCAGAUUGCAUUUUAAUAUAAAUGUAGACUCUGUUAUGCCAGUCUGAACUUUGGGAAAGGGUCGAUAAUGUGACUUGUACUCCUAUCAUCAUUCCAAUGUCACUAAAGUAUAAUAGCGGUCAUUGACUUUUUUAAGCAUUAAAAUUUAGAUUUCAAUGCUUUUUUUUUAUUUAGCACCCUCUCUUUGUAAUGUACUGUACAGUACUUAUUUGUCCUUUAAAUAUGCUCUUGAGCAUUUUCCUUACAAAUUCAUUUAUCUAGAUAUAAGACGCUACAGACUAAGAAUUUAAAGGACAAGUC